UACGGGGGGGGCAAGCGUUGUUCGGAAUUACUGGGCGUAAAGGGCGCGUAGGUGGCCAACUAAGUCAGACGUGAAAUCCCUCGGCUUAACCGGGGAACUGCGUCUGAUACUGGAUGGCUUGAGUUUGGGAGAGGGACGCGGAAUUCCAGGUGUAGCGGUGAGAUGCGUAGAUAUCUGGAGGAACACCGGUGGCGAAGGCGGCGUCCUGGACCAAUACUGACACUGAAACGCGAAAGCCAGGGGAGCAAACGGG
rnacentral:rRNA from 1 species